GGGUCUAAAGGGUCCGGUAGCCGGUUUGGUCAGUCCUCCCGGGAAAGUCUGAUAGCUCAACAUUAGGCUUCGGGGGAGUACUGCCAGACUUGGAACCGGGAGAGGUAAGAGGUACUACAGGGGUAGGAGUGAAAUCUUGUAAUCCCUGUGGGACCACCUGUGGCGAAGGCGUCUUACCAGAACGGGUUCGACGGUGAGGGACGAAAGCUGGGGGCACGAACCGGAUUAGAUACCCGGGUAGUCCCAGCCGUAAACGAUGCUCGCUAAGUGUCAGGCAUGGCGCGACCGUGUCUGGUGCCGCAGGGAAGCCGUGAAGCGAGCCACCUGGGAAGUACGGCCGCAAGGCUGAAACUUAAAGGAAUUGGCGGGGGAGCACAACAACGGGUGGAAGCCUGCGGUUUAAUUGGACUCAACGCCGGACAAUUCACCGGGGGCGACAGCAAUAUGUAGGCCAAGCUGAAGACUUUGCCUGAAUCGCUGAGGGGAGGUGCAUGG
rnacentral:rRNA from 1 species